CACGGUCGAAUGUAGUAACAGAAACCCAACCUUGGGCUUCAGGUGAAGGAUGACCGAUGUAAAAGGAAAGGUACUUCCUUGGGUAGCCAAUCCCUAAAACUGCCCCGCUUGGGAAAGCGGGAUGGGGUAUAACCUAUUUUAUAGCCGAUACCCUUUCUUUUGACACCCAUGCACGGACGCUUCUUGCAUGGUGGGCGAAUGUGCCAUAGCCCAUUUCAUGUGUAUGGGUAAAGCAGAUUAGAAGGCACCCUACAAUUUAUCUGUGCGAAAGGCGAAUACUUUUUUAAUUAUGA
rfam:Clostridiales bacterium 45_37 Ley3_66761_scaffold_15685, whole genome shotgun sequence.